GAUGAACGCUGGCGGCGUGCCUAAUACAUGCAAGUAGAACGCUGAAGGACGGAGCUUGCUCUUUCCGGGUGAGUUGCGAACGGGUGAGUAACGCGUAGGUAACCUGCCUGGUAGCGGGGGAUAACUAUUGGAAACGAUAGCUAAUACCGCAUAACAGUAGAUGUUGCAUGAUAUCUACUUAAAAGGUGCAAUUGCAGAACUACCAGCUGGUCCUGCGUUGUAUUAGCUAGUUGGUGAGGUAACGGCUCACCAAGGCGGCGAUACAUAGCCUAGCUGAGGGGGGGAACGGCGGCAGUGGGACGGAGACGCGACCCAGAGUCCGACGGGAGGCAGCAGUAGGGAAGGGUGGGAGAUGGACGGAAGACUGACCGAGGAGCGCCGGGCUAGUGAAGAAGGGUUUCGGAGCGGAAAGAGCUGUUGGAAGAGAAGAACGAGUGUGAGAGUGGAAAGUCCACGCUGUGACGGUACCUUACCAGAAAGCGACGGCUAACUACGUG
rnacentral:rRNA from 1 species